GUGCAGCAGGCGCGAAUACUUUACAAUGUGCGAAAGCACGAUAAGGGAACUCUGAGUGCCUCCUAAGGAGGCUGUUCAGGUGUCUAAAAGCACCUGAAGGAAGGGCUGGGUAAGACCGGUGCCAGCCGCCGCGGUAACACCGGCAGCCCAAGUGGUAGCCACGUUUAUUGGGUCUAACGCGUCCGUGGCCGGCCGGGUAAGUUCCUUGGGAAAUUUGGCUGCUUAACAGUCAAGCUUUCAGGGAAUACUGCCCGGCUUGGGACCGGGAGAGGUCAGAGGUACUCCAGGGGUAGGGGUGAAAUCCAUUAAUCCUUGGGGGACCACCGGUAGCGAAGGCGUCUGACCAGACCGGGUCCGACGGUGAGGGACGAAGGCUAGGGGC
rnacentral:rRNA from 1 species